GACGAACGCUGGCGGCGUGCUUAACACAUGCAAGUCGAACGGAAAGGCCCUGCUUGUGUGGGGUUCUCGAGUGGCGAGCGGGUGAGUAACACGUGAGUAACCUGGGCUUUACGUUGUGAUAACUUCAGGAAACUGGUGCUAAUACCUGAGAGGUGCUCCUGCUGCAUGGUGGGGGUUGGAAAUUUUCGGCGGAUGUGGAUGUACGCGCGGGUUAUGAGCUUGUUGGUUGGGUAGUGGCUGACCAAGGGUUUGACGGGUGGUCUGCCUGAGAGGGUGACCGGCCACCUGGGGACUGCGAUACGCACCAGAGUCCUACGGGAGGCAGCAGUGGGGAAUCUUGUACACUGGGGGGAAGCCUGAUGAAGCAACGCCGCGUGCGGGAUGAACGCUAUCGGGGUGUAAACCGCUUUAGCUUGUGACGAAGCGGGAGUGACGGUAAUGGGUAAAGAAGCACCGGCUAACUACGUG
rnacentral:rRNA from 1 species